AUCAGGAAUCUUGCGCAAUGGACGAAAGUCUGACGCAGCGACGCCGCGUGGGUGAGGACGUCUUUCGGGAUGUAAAGCCCUUUUUCAGGGGACGAUGAUGACGGUACCCUGAGAAUAAGCCCCGGCUAACUACGUGCCAGCAGCCGCGGUAAUACGUAGGGGGCGAGCGUUGUCCGGAAUUACUGGGCGUAAAGGGCGCGUAGGCGGCUCUUUAAGUCCGCGGUGAAAGCCCGGGGCUCAACCCCGGAGGGUCCGCGGAGACUGGAGAGCUGGAGUGUCGGAGAGGGAUGCGGAAUACCUGGUGUAGCGGUGGAAUGCGUAGAGAUCAGGUGGAACACCGAUGGCGAAGGCAGCAUCCUGGCCGAAAUACUGACGCUGAGGCGCGAAAGCUGGGGGAGCAAACGG
rnacentral:rRNA from 1 species